rnacentral:rRNA from 1 species
AUUGAACGCUGGCGGCAUGCUUUACACAUGCAAGUCGAACGGUAACAGGGAGCUUGCUCCGCUGACGAGUGGCGAACGGGUGAGUAAUGCGUCGGAACGUGCCGAGUAGUGGGGGAUAACGCAUCGAAAGGUGCGCUAAUACCGCAUACGUACUGAGGUAGAAAGUGGGGGACCUUCGGGCCUCACGCUAUUCGAGCGGCCGACGUCUGAUUAGCUAGUUGGUGAGGUAAAGGCCCACCAAGGCGACGAUCAGUAGAGGGUCUGAGAGGGUGAUCCGCCACACUGGGACUGAGACACGGCCCAGACUCCUGCGGGAGGCAGCAGUGGGGAAUUUUGGACAAUGGGCGCAAGCCUGAUCCAGCCAUGCCGCGUGUCUGAAGAAGGCCUUCGGGUUGUAAAGGACUUUUGUCCGGGAGCAAAUGCCUGGUGUUAAUAGCACUGGGAGCUGAGAGUACCGGAAGAAUAAGCACCGGCUAACUACGUGCCAGCCGCCGCCGUAA